UACGGAGGAUCCGAGCGUUAUCCGGAUUUAUUGGGUUUAAAGGGUGCGUAGGCGGCCUGUUAAGUCAGGGGUGAAAGACGGUAGCUCAACUAUCGCAGUGCCCUUGAUACUGAUGGGCUUGAAUGUACUAGAGGUAGGCGGAAUGUGACAAGUAGCGGUGAAAUGCAUAGAUAUGUUACAGAACACCAAUUGCGAAGGCAGCUUACUAUGGUAUAAUUGACGCUGAGGCACGAAAGCGUGGGGAUCAAACAGG
rnacentral:rRNA from 1 species